GAUGAAAACGUAGCGAAAUGCGAUAAGUAGUGUGAAUUGCAGAAUUCCGUGAAUCAUCGAAUCUUUGAACGCACAUUGCGCCUUCUGGUAUUCCGGAAGGCAUGCCUGUUCGAGAGUCAUUAACAACCGUUUCGAUCCCUUUCUUUCAGAAAUUACAAAGAGGAAAAGGGUUUGGUUAUGGUGGAGGAGGGAAAGGGAGCGUUUAGCCUGUAAAAAAAGAGGCUGUGUUCCGCCUCCCCCCCAAAAUUGUACAGGCGGUCGUGUGCGCCCACGCAUCGAGGUGUUGUAAAAGCUGCCACGGCACUUUUCACCUGUGCAGUGCGAGAUUGGCCAGCCGGUUUAAAAACCCCUCCAAACAAUCAAAGGUUGACCUCGGAUCAGGUAGGGAUACCCGCUGAACUUAAGCAUAUCAAUAAGCGGAGGA
rnacentral:misc_RNA from 1 species